rnacentral:rRNA from 1 species
UACGUAGGUGGCUAGCGUUGUCCGGAUUUACUGGGCGUAAAGAGCGCGCAGGCGGUCGUUCAAGUCGAGUGUGAAAGCCCCCGGCUCAACUGGGGAGGGUCACUCGAUACUGAUCGACUCGAAGGCAGGAGAGGGAAGCGGAAUUCCCGGUGUAGUGGUGAAAUGCGUAGAUAUUCGCAAGAACACCAGUGGCGAAGGCGGCUCACUGGCCCGAUACUGACGCUGAGGCACGAAAGCGUGGGGAGCAAACAGG